rnacentral:rRNA from 1 species
UACGAAGGUGGCUAGCGUUAUUCGGAAUUACUGGGCGUAAAGCGCACGCAGGCGGUUAAGUAAGUCAGCGGUGAAAUCCCGGGGCUCAACCUCGGGACUGCGUUUGAUACUGCUGAUCUCGAGUCCGGAAGAGGGGAGUGGAAUUCCUGGUGUAGAGGUGAAAUUCGUAGAUAUUAGGAGGAACACCAGUGGCGAAGGCGGCUCACUGGUGCGGUACUGACGCUGAGGUGCGAAAGCGUGGGGAGCAAACAGG